rnacentral:rRNA from 1 species
AUUCCUACGGGAGGCAGCAGUGGGGAAUUGUUCGCAAUGGGCGCAAGCCUGACGACGCAACGCCGCGUGGAGGAUGAAGAUUUUCGGAUCGUAAACUCCUGUCGAAUGGGACGAAUGGCCUGGCCGUGAAUAACGGCCGGGAAUGACGGUACCGUGAGAGGAAGCCCCGGCUAACUCCGUGCCAGCAGCCGCGGUAAUACGUAGGGUGCGAGCGUUAAUCGGAAUUACUGGGCGUAAAGCGUGCGCAGGCGGUUCGUUGUGUCGGACGUGAAAUCCCUCGGCUCAACCGGGGAACUGCGUCCGAUACUGGGUGGCUUGGAUCCGGGAGAGGGACGUGGAAUUCCAGGUGUAGCGGUGAAAUGCGUAGAUAUCUGGAGGAACACCGGUGGCGAAGGCGGCGUCCUGGACCGGUAUUGACACUGAGGAGCGAAAGCCAGGGGAGCAAACGGGAUUAGAUACCCCGGUAGUCCUGGCCCUAAACGAUGACAACUGGAUGUCGGGAGGGUUUGCCUUCCGGUGUCGUAGCUAACGCGUUAAGUUGUCCGCCUGGGAAGUACGGCCGCAAGGUUGAAACUCAAAGGAAUUGACGGAAU